UAACAAGGAUUCCCCUAGUAACUGCGAGUGAAGCGGGAAGAGCUCAAAUUUAAAAUCUGACGGUUCUGCCGUCCGAGUUGUAAUCUGGAGAAGCGUUUUCUGUGCUGGACCGUGCAUAAGUGUCUUGGAAUAGGACGUCAUAGAGGGUGAGAAUCCCGUCUUUGGCACGGACUACCAGUGCUCUGUGAUACGCUCUCAAAGAGUCGAGUUGUUUGGGAAUGCAGCUCAAAAUGGGUGGUAAAUUCCAUCUAAAGCUAAAUAUAGGCGAGAGACCGAUAGCGAACAAGUACCGUGAGGGAAAGAUGAAAAGCACUUUGGAAAGAGAGUUAAACAGUACGUGAAAUUGUUGAAAGGGAAACGCUUGAAGUCAGUCGCGUUGUCCAGGACUCAACCUCAGUUUUCUUUGGUGUAUUUCCUGGUUAACGGGUCAACAUCAAUUUUGAUCGGUGGACAAAGGCAGAGGGAAUGUGGCACCUUCGGGUGUGUUAUAGCCCCUUGUCAUAUACACCGGUUGGGAUUGAGGAUAUCACGCCCUCGGCGGUAGGAUGUUGACAUAAUGGCUUUAAGCGAC
rnacentral:rRNA from 1 species